rnacentral:tRNA from 1 species
GCGUAAUUGGUUUAGUGGUAAAAUUCUUCGUUGCCAUUCGAGCAGCGUCGGGGAGCCCAGGGUUCGAUUCCCUGAUUACGCA